rnacentral:rRNA from 1 species
CGUGUAGGCGGUCAGGUAAGUGGAAUGUAAAAUGCCCCGGCUCACCCGGGGACCGGCAUCCCAAACUGCCUGGCUUGAGUAUGGGAGAGGAUGGAGGAAUUCCUGGUGUAGCGGUGAAAUGCGUAGAUAUCAGGAGGAACACCGGUGGCGAAGGCGUCCAUCUGGCCCAAUACUGACGCUGAGGCGCGAAAGCUAGGGGAGCAAACGG